GGGGAUAACAUCUGGAAACGGAUGCUAAUACCGCAUACGCCCUGAGGGGGAAAGAUUUAUUGCUAAAAGGUCGGCCCGCGGUAGAUUAGGCAGUUGGUGGGGUAAAGGCCUACCAAACCUACGAUCUAUAGCUGGUCUGAGAGGACGAUCAGCCACAUUGGAACUGAGACACGGUCCAGACUCCUACGGGAGGCAGCAGUGAGGAAUAUUGGGCAAUGGAGGCAACUCUGACCCAGCCAUGCCGCGUGAGUGAGAAGGUUUUCGAAUUGUAAAGCUCUUUCAGGUGUGAAGAUGAUGACGGUAACACCAGAAGAAGCCCCGGCAAACUUCGUGCCAGCAGCCGCGGUAAUACGAAGGGGGCGAGCGUUGUUCGGAAUUACUGGGCGUAAAGGGUGUGUAGGCGGUUUAGUAAGAUAGUGGUGAAAUGCCGGAGCUCAACUUCGGAAUUGCCAUUAUGACUAUUAAGCUAGAAUGAUGUAGAGGAUAGCGGAAUACCCAGUGUAGAGGUGAAAUUCGUAGAUAUUGGGUAGAACACCAGAGGCGAAGGCGGCUAUCUGGGCAUUUAUUGACGCUGAGGCACGAAAGCAUGGGGAUCAAACAGGAUUAGAUACCCUGGUAGUCCAUGCUGUAAACG
rnacentral:rRNA from 1 species